GACGAACCGUGCAAACGUUGUUCGGAAUCACUGGGCUUAAAGGGCGCGUAGGCGGGCUGUCAAGUCUGGGGUGAAAUACCGCGGCUCAACCGUGGAACUGCCUUAGAUACUGACGGCCUCGAGGGAGGUAGGGGCGUGCGGAACUGUAGGUGGAGCGGUGAAAUGCGUUGAUAUCUACAGGAACUCCGGUGGCGAAAGCGGCGCGCUGGACCUCUUCUGACGCUGAGGCGCGAAAGCUAGGGGAGCAAACGGG
rnacentral:rRNA from 1 species